AGGGGCCCAAAUUGACAGCCCACGGCGUAAAGAGUGGUUAUGGGAAUAGAAAACUAGAGCUGAAGGGCCCCCGGGCAGUUAAAAGCAUUCCGGCCGCUCGAACCACAGUCACGAAAGUAGCUCUAACCCCUUCCACCAGAUUCCACGACAGCUGAGAAACRAACUGGGAUUAGAUACCCCACUAUGCUCAAGCCGUAAACUUARAUACUGCAUCACUACAGGUAUCCGCCUGGGGAUUACGAGCGACA
rnacentral:rRNA from 1 species